GAGGAUGUAGCUCAAUUGGAUAGAGCAAAGGGGCUGGAAGGGGCUCUUUGGUUAUUGGUUCGAAUCCAAUCAUCCUCA
rnacentral:tRNA from 1 species